GCGCACACACACACACACUCAACUGAUCAACUGAUGAGAGAUCUGCAGAAAGCCACAGGCUUCUGCUAGUUCACAAGUAGAGAUAUGAGCGGUAUGGAGGUGCUUCAGUUAGCGCUCAUCUCAGCGCUAAUGCUCCAUGCGCUGGGAACAACUACAGCUAUAUCCUGUGAUCUUGUCACAAAAAAAUGCCAACAAGAACCUUCUUUCGCAACGUGCUACAGUCAGUGGAUAAGACGAUGUAUAGGUGCAAGACUCAAACACCCAGACUUUGACAAAAAACUUGUCAACUCUUCGUUAGAGG